rnacentral:rRNA from 1 species
CUUGCUCCUUGGGUGACGAGUGGCGGACGGGUGAGUAAUGUCUGGGAAACUGCCCGAUGGAGGGGGAUAACUACUGGAAACGGUAGCUAAUACCGCAUAACGUCGCAAGACCAAAGAGGGGGACCUUCGGGCCUCUUGCCAUCGGAUGUGCCCAGAUGGGAUUAGCUAGUAGGUGGGGUAACGGCUCACCUAGGCGACGAUCCCUAGCUGGUCUGAGAGGAUGACCAGCCACACUGGAACUGAGACACGGUCCAGACUCCUACGGGAGGCAGCAGUGGGGAAUAUUGCACAAUGGGCGCAAGCCUGAUGCAGCCAUGCCGCGUGUAUGAAGAAGGCCUUCGGGUUGUAAAGUACUUUCAGCGAGGAGGAAGGUGUUGUGGUUAAUAACCGCAGNNAUUGACGUUACUCGCAGAAGAAGCACCGGCUAACUCCGUGCCAGCAGCCGCGGUAAUACGGAGGGUGCAAGCGUUAAUCGGAAUUACUGGGCGUAAAGCGCACGCAGGCGGUCUGUCAAGUCGGAUGUGAAAUCCCCGGGCUCAACCUGGGAACUGCAUCCGAAACUGGCAGGCUAGAGUCUUGUAGAGGGGGGUAGAAUUCCAGGUGUAGCGGUGAAAUGCGUAGAGAUCUGGAGGAAUACCGGUGGCGAAGGCGGCCCCCUGGACAAAGACUGACGCUC